GGCGAUGCGCGUGCCUAAUACAUGCAGUCGAGCGGACAGAUGGGAGCUUGCUCCCUGAUGUUAGCGGCGGACGGGUGAGUAACACGUGGGUAACCUGCCUGUAAGACUGGGAUAACUCCGGGAAACCGGGGCUAAUACCGGAUGGUUGUUUGAACCGCAUGGUUCAAACAUAAAAGGUGGCUUCGGCUACCACUUACAGAUGGACCCGCGGCGCAUUAGCUAGUUGGUGAGGUAAUGGCUCACCAAGGCAACGAUGCGUAGCCGACCUGAGAGGGUGAUCGGCCACACUGGGACUGAGACACGGCCCAGACUCCUACGGGAGGCAGCAGUAGGGAAUCUUCCGCAAUGGACGAAAGUCUGACGGAGCAACGCCGCGUGAGUGAUGAAGGUUUUCGGAUCGUAAAGCUCUGUUGUUAGGGAAGAACAAGUACCGUUCGAAUAGGGCGGUACCUUGACGGUACCUAACCAGAAAGCCACGGCUAACUACGUGCCAGCAGCCGCGGUAAUACGUAGGUGGCAAGCGUUGUCCGGAAUUAUUGGGCGUAAAGGGCUCGCAGGCGGUUUCUUAAGUCUGAUGUGAAAGCCCCCGGCUCAACCGGGGAGGGUCAUUGGAAACUGGGGAACUUGAGUGCAGAAGAGGAGAGUGGAAUUCCACGUGUAGCGGUGAAAUGCGUAGAGAUGUGGAGGAACACCAGUGGCGAAGGCGACUCUCUGGUCUGUAACUGACGCUGAGGAGCGAAAGCGUGGGGAGCGAACAGGAUUAGAUACCCUGGUAGUCCACGCCGUAAACGAUGAGUGCUAAGUGUUAGGGGGUUUCCGCCCCUUAGUGCUGCAGCUAACGCAUUAAGCACUCCGCCUGGGGAGUACGGUCGCAAGACUGAAACUCAAAGGAAUUGACGGGGGCCCGCACAAGCGGUGGAGCAUGUGGUUUAAUUCGAAGCAACGCGAAGAACCUUACCAGGUCUUGACAUCCUCUGACAAUCCUAGAGAUAGGACGUCCCCUUCGGGGGCAGAGUGACAGGUGGUGCAUGGUUGUCGUCAGCUCGUGUCGUGAGAUGUUGGGUUAAGUCCCGCAACGAGCGCAACCCUUGAUCUUAGUUGCCAGCAUUCAGUUGGGCACUCUAAGGUGACUGCCGGUGACAAACCGGAGGAAGGUGGGGAUGACGUCAAAUCAUCAUGCCCCUUAUGACCUGGGCUACACCCUUGCUACAAUGGACAGAACAAAGGGCAGCGAAACCGCGAGGUUAACCCAAUCCCACAAUCUGUU
rnacentral:rRNA from 2 species